UGAAUGGAGAAAUAUUGUAGAAAAAAACUGGUAGGAUCCCAAUAUUAGUGCCUGAUUUUCGUAGGCCACCUGGAAGACCAAAGACUUACAAAAGAAACAAGGAUCCUUAUGAGUCUCCAACCUAAAAAGCGAAGUCAAAAAGACAUGGGAGAUCGGUUCAUUGUUCACAUUGUGGUCCAGUUGGCCAUAACAAAACUAAAUGCAAAAAUGAACCCAAGGUUGAAAAACCAAAGAACAAAAGAGGUCGUCCUCGUAAGAACCCUCAAGAGGUAAGUUUUAGAUCUCACAUUGUCACUAUUCAAAACUCUUAUAUUAACCACUUCCAUUCUUAUUUUUCAAGUACCAGUUCGUAGGCAACCCAGAUCAGCCAAAAGUACAGCUCCCACAACAUCUCUUAAUAACUCUUCAAAGCCAGUUGCCAAGAAAACUACAAGGAAACAAAGACAACUUUUAAAAAUAGCACAAAGCCACCUUCCAAAAAGAGAAAGAUCACUACAAGAAUACAGGCCAAAAACCUACGGCAAAUAUCGUCGUUAAAGCGUAGGAAACAGCCCUUUCUUACUCAAUACUUACCAAAAUAAGUUAUAGGAAAUCGGCCGUCGAAAAUUUUAAUUGGUAGGAAAGUCGUAGGAAAUUCCGUAGGAAAUUUACUACGGACAGUUUGGUAGGACUUUUGUCAGAAAUUUUUGACCAAAUUCCUACUAAUAUCCUGCGAUUAGUUUUUCCUACGAUAUUUUACUUUCUUAUUUCCUACAGUUUCUAUUGUUUUUCUACAAAAUAUUUCCUACGAUUUAUUUACGAUAAUUAUAAAAAAGUAAUUAAAUUAAUUUCAAAAAUAAAUUAAUUUCGAAAAUUAAAUUUGAAAUUAACAAAUUAAUAUUAAUUAUAAAUUUGAAUUGUAUUAUAUAUAAACCAAUUUUUUUCUUACAACAAAAUCAAAACAAUUAGUUUAUUUAAAUACAACACUAUAAUAAAUUAAACAUUAUAAGAAAAUUAAAUCAACAAUUAAACCAAACAAUUAAACUAAAUAAUUAAACCAAAGAAAAAUUAAAAAAACAAAAAAACCUAAACCCUACACAAUGGAGAGACACAGCCGCUUAUGGAUUCAUGGCCGCAAAAGGUUACAAUCAACCCAGACGCCGCCGCUCAUGGAUUCGUGGCUGCAAAAGACACCGCCGUUCAUGGAUUCAUGACCAUUGCCUCAAGCUUUUCGACCAAUCUCAGAGGCGAAGUAGAACUUGGACGAAAUCUCCAGAUCUAUCACCACCAGUCUCACCGGACAUUAUCCUUCAAAUCUCAACAAGGAAAAACCACCAUGACAGCACCGCAAAAGGAGCACCACCACCGGAUCUCGUCCUCACACAGCAGCAUUUGUUUCCACCAAAAUAACAAAAGCUUAGUUUUGUGAUUUUUCUUAAAAAAUUAGAUGAAGAAGAAUGAAGUUUGGGGAAAAAGAAGAGAAAAAACUGAAGAGAUGAAAAAAAGAGGCGGCCA
rnacentral:lncRNA from 1 species